rnacentral:rRNA from 1 species
UACGUAGGCGGAAAAUUAAGUCAGUGGUGAAAUCCUGCAACUUAACUGUAGAACUGUCAUUGAUACUGGUUUUCUUGAAUACAGUUGAGGUAGGCGGAAUGUGUAAUGUAGCGGUGAAAUGCUUAGAUAUUACACAGAACACCGAUUGCGAAGGCAGCUUACUAAACUGUUAUUGACGCUGAGGUACGAAAGCGUGGGGAGCGAACAGGAUUAGAUACCCUGGUAGUCC